rnacentral:lncRNA from 1 species
CCGCGCGCUAACCGAUUGCGCCACUGGAGCACCCAGUUUCUACUUCCGGUCACUCCUUACACAGCCUACACAGGAACAUCCGGCGUGUUUGCUCUGGUCGUCACAGCACCGGUUCCUCGGGCGCGCGCCCUUAGUCCUGGGGCCGCUUCUCCCCCGGACGCGUGCGAAGGCGGACUGGGUUCCGCUGCGGUCUCCACGGGAGCCACCGGUCCUGAAAGCGCGGAGCAUGCUUUGUUUGCGGAAACGAAAGCGAAUACUUCUUUCCAAGGAGACUUAGGAAAGGGCAGACGCUCCCACUGCCUCAGGUGUUCCCUGGAGGACCUUCAAGUGGCCGCCGUGUGGGCGGGCUAGCGUCCCGCUGCUGCGCUGGUUCCGGAGCCCUUCCCUUGCCUCUCCCAGGGUCCUUCUCCCAGCGUCGGAGGAAGGCCCGCAGUCUGCGAGUGGAGUGCGGGUGGUGGGAAUCCCUGGGAGGAUUACGAAAUCCUUAAAGUGGGAUUUACCAAACGCAUUCCUUUCCGCUCACUUCCGUUCCCGCUUAACAAACGUGUUGGAAACGUGUUGCUACUGAAAGGAAGUGGCGCUGGGCUGCAUUUUCUGUGGCUAGUCUGCGAGAAACAGCCCUGGAAUAGGGCCUCUAUUUCUUCCUUGGAGCAUCCCUCCCCGGGACCUGGGAGUUGAAACUCUAGGCUAAAGCAACUGAAGCAGGCCCAGGACUGGGUCUCUGAAAUUCAUGGUGUCUCUACGCUGAGUUAAACUAAGUUUUUCAGAAAAUGUCUAACUAGGCUAAAGACCUUGUGCUUCAGAGUGUUUUGAGAGGAGAGUUUGGGGAAAAGGGCUCUCUCUAGAAGGUCUUUGAUUACUUGAGAAAAGUGAGUGAGGUGGGGCCAAGAUGGUUGACUAGAAGCAGCUAGUGUGUGCCACUCUCACAAAUAGCAGAAAGAGUGGUGAGGUGAGUAGACACUAGCUCUUCAACCGGAACAUCCAGAUGGACACAUAGGAUUCAUCAGUGACAUAGUGUGACCUUCGGAUCACGGAGAAGAGUGAGACAGAUCAACCAUUCACCCAGGAGUGGCACAGACCCAGGGGAAUCCCCCUACAAGAAAAUGGCCAGGAACGUCAAGAUAUAUUGGAGACCUCAAGAAGAGAGAAAUUCAUGCAAAUUUUUAGAUACUGCAGCCAAAGUCUGAUGUUUGCCCUCCUUUGACCUCUGACCCUUGGAAGGCUUUUAAAAGUCUAAUCUGAGAUUUCUUAUCAAAAGUUCCAUCAAAAUAAACUUAAAAACAGCCCAUGUUUCAUCCCUUUUCUUGCUACACUGUUGUCAAUAAUCAUGCCAAGUUUAAUGAGACUAAACUUAUUCAGCAGACAAAUUAGUCUUACUCUGAUUAUCUUUAGUAGAAAUAGGGAUGAUUGUACAGAGAAAAAUUAUGUUUCUGAAGAAAAACUGCAGUACACCUGUUAUUAGAUUGUAGUUUUCUUUGUUUUUUUCAAGUUUUUGUCAUCUAUCUCUAAAUUAGGGCACUUAAUUAUUCUAAUUUCCUCCAACAUCUGGCUACGAUUCUCCAAC